GAUGAACGCUAGCGGCAGGCUUAACACAUGCAAGUCGAGGGGUAUAGUUCUUCGGAACUAGAGACCGGCGCACGGGUGCGUAACGCGUAUGCAAUCUACCUUUUGCAGAGGGAUAGCCCAGAGAAAUUUGGAUUAAUACCUCAUAGUAUGUGAGAAUGGCAUCAUUUUCACAUUAAAGUCACAACGGCAAAAGAUGAGCAUGCGUCCCAUUAGCUAGUUGGUAAGGUAACGGCUUACCAAGGCAACGAUGGGUAGGGGUCCUGAGAGGGAGAUCCCCCACACUGGUACUGAGACACGGACCAGACUCCUACGGGAGGCAGCAGUGAGGAAUAUUGGACAAUGGGCGCAAGCCUGAUCCAGCCCAUGCCGCGUGCAGGAUGACGGUCCUAUGGAUUGUAAAACUGCUUUUGUACAGGGAAGAAACACUCCCUCGUGAGGGGAGCUUGACGGUACUGUAAAGAAUAAGGGAUCGGGCUAACUCCGUGCCAGC
rnacentral:rRNA from 1 species